rnacentral:rRNA from 1 species
UACGGAAGGCAGCAGUGGGGAAUAUUGCACAAUGGGCGCAAGCCUGAUGCAGCCAUGCCGCGUGUAUGAAAAAGGUCUUCGGGUUGUAAAGUACUUUCAGUCGUGAGGAAGGUGUUAAGGUUAAUAACCUUAGCAAUUGACGUUAGCGACAGAAGAAGCACCGGCUAACUCCGUGCCAGCAGCCGCGGUAAUACGGAGGGUGCGAGCGUUAAUCGGAAUUACUGGGCGUAAAGGGCACGCAGGCGGUUAAUUAAGUUGGAUGUGAAAUCCCCGGGCUUAACCUGGGAAUGGCAUUCAAGACUGGUUAGCUAGAGUCUUGUAGAGGGGGUGAAUUCCAUGUGUAGCGGUGAAAUGCGUAGAGAUGUGGAGGAAUACCGGUGGCGAAGGCGGCCCCUGGACAAAGACUGACGCUCAUGUGCGAAAGCGUGGGGAGCAAACAGGGAUUAGAUACC